CCUGUGGAUACUUUACGUCGCCCCACAUCGUCUCAAAUCACGGGCAGAAGCAUUGGUCCCGGACGUGCCUAAAAAUUUACUCAGCAGACGGGCGGCCCGCUUCAUAGUUUUCGAUGGCGUCUUCCAAUGUGAAUCAAAUCUGCACCUCGGAUAUUCACGAUGCAUUUACCCACGCUGAUUGCCUUGGCAGCAUCUCGAAACCUGCGAGCUGUAAACCAUUCUUGAAAAGUGCAGCAGCAGUUCAGUUUGCGCAGAUACCUUAUACAUCACACUCAGCGAUGCUGACCACUUGAGAUGAAUCUGAAGUGCGCAAGCUGCUCGGGUUGCAAAAUCUUCGCGAGUGACUGAGAGGUACAGUUGGAAAUCGGUAAUACAAAGAUCUAUAAAAAAUAUUGAACAAAUCCUGA